rnacentral:rRNA from 1 species
GCUAGCGUUGUUCGGAAUUACUGGGCGUAAAGCGCACGUAGGCGGAUAUUUAAGUCAGGGGUGAAAUCCCAGAGCUCAACUCUGGAACUGCCUUUGAUACUGGGUAUCUCGAGUAUGGAAGAGGUGAGUGGAAUUCCGAGUGUAGAGGUGAAAUUCGUAGAUAUUCGGAGGAACACCAGUGGCGAAGGCGGCUCACUGGUCCAUUACUGACGCUGAGGUGCGAAAGCGUGGGGAGCGAACAGG